ACUACCAGUUCCGUCCAGCUGCCUGAAUGGGAGAGAGAGGAAGCAGGGCUCCUCCAGGGACCUCCUAGCCCUGAAGUCUUUCCCUGCCGGCUGGCCAUUAUCAGAAAGACUCUUUGACUAUUGGGGGUCUGGGUUGGCUCUUUCCCAUGUGGGCCAUUCCUUCUGCCGUGGGGCAUGAGGAACAUUGGGAAGACAAGCUGGCCUUGUUGUGAGCCAGGUGUCCUAGAGAGACAGUGGGGAAAAGGGAGGUCCCACUCUGAAAGGCCCAUGGAAUCAAAGGGAGGCUGGGGAGGAGAACAGGUCCUCUCAGGAGUGGCUUCCGAGUGCCAUGAUGCGCUGGGGCAGGGCAGGGACAAAUGCAGAGGGGCACUGCCUGCCAAUCCAAUUCCCCGAAAUUCAUCACCCAUCCUGAGACCCUCAGAAGAAGAUUCAGGAGGGGCCUGGGCCCCUGACCAGCUACGUGGCUGGAUGGUCCUUUCCACCAUUCCAGAGGCGAGUCCCUCCAUCCGACCAGGGAGGGUGUUGCUUUACUUGCCAACAAGCAGGACACACACGCCUGUUUGUUGGCAUCAGGCUGCAAUAAGCUCAGGGGAAGUGGAUGGUUGGGGCACCUAGGAGAAUAUCCUACACCCAAAGACACCCCAUGUGGUUUAGCGGACGGACUAAGAGCCCUGGAGUGGGGAGACCUGGGCCCAUUUGACCCCAUGGCUAGGAGCUUUGGAGGGAGGUGGGGAAGAUGGGGAGUGAGAGGAGCUGGUUCUGGGUGGAAAGAUCCACUCUGAGGAAAAGAUCACCAGCUAGAGAAAGGAGUCUCUGAGCCUAGUGGGAAGGACAGUGUGUGGUGUCCUGGGAGAGUAAAUCAGGCCAGGAAUGAACUGGGAGGCUGAGCCAGGAGAAGGAGGAGCUGGAAAGAGACCGGCUGCUGAGCUCUCAUCCCAGUCAGGAGGGGAGAGAUCCUUCUAGAAAGAGAAGACUCCCAAACCAGAGAUCCCUUGGGUCUUUUGCUUGGAGUACCUUGGGAGUAGGGUAACUGGCAGAAAGCGCCACCUUGUUAAGAGCCAAAGUAUUACGUGUGAAACAACAGAGAAAACCUUGAAGGGAAAUAACAUUGUAAACUGAAAUAUCCUAAGUUUUAUCCACUCAUGUCAUAAACUUCCUUGUUAAAUAAAAUCGUUAAUGUUUAUUUGAAGAAA